rnacentral:misc_RNA from 1 species
UUUCCGUAGGUGAACCUGCGGAAGGAUCAUUAAAAAAUUGGACUCCAUUGGUGAGUUCAUUAAUAAUCCCUACCCUUUGUGAAUUUGUUUGUUUGAAUAAUUUUUUUUCCAAAAAAAAUUAUUGAAUGUCUUUCCUUGUUUUGGUGGAGCUUGUAAAGUGAAACCAGGCAGGGGAAUGGCAAACAAUAAUUAUUUUUGAAAAAGACCUUUUUUUAAAAUUAAACUUUUUGUAUUCAUUUGUCUAAAAUUAAUUUUUAUAAUAUAAAAACAACUUUUGACAAUGGAUCUCUUGGUUCUCGCAACGAUGAAGAACGCAGCAAAAUGCGAUAAGUAGUGUGAAUUGCAGAAUACGUGAAUCAUCGAAUCUUCGAACGCAUAUUGCACUUUUUUAGUUUACUAAAAAAGUAUGUCUGUUUGAGUAUCAGUAAAAUAUUCUCAUAAAAAACAUUGUUUUUUUUAUGGUUAUGAGUGUUUUACAACGAUAACAAGUUGUUUCACUUUAAAUUCUUUGUUAUCAAAAAAAUCAUUAAAAGCUAAUUUUAAAGAUUUUUUAAAAUUGGAUAAAAUUUUCCCAUAAAAAGGAAUAACCUAAACAAUUUUAAAAAAUUAAAAUUGGUUUGAUUCCUUUUGAAACCCAAAGGAAAAAAAAACGAAAUUAACUUGAUCUCAAAUCAGAUAAGAGUACCCGCUGAACUUAAGCAUAUCAAUAAGCGGAGGAAAAGAAACUAACUAGGAUUCCCUCAGUAACGGCGAGUGAAGCGGGAAGAGCUCAAAUUUGAAAUCUUCAAGGUUUUACCUUGACGAAUUGUAGUUUAAAGAAGUGUUUUCUGUUGGAGUUUUGGUAAAAGUUCUUUGGAAAAGGACAUCAUAGAGGGUGAGAAUCCCGUAUUUGACCAUUAUCUCCAGCUUUGUGAUACACUUUCAAAGAGUCGGAUUGUUUGGGAAUGCAGUCCAAAAUGGGUGGUAAAUUUCAUCUAAAGCUAAAUACUGGCGAGAGACCGAUAGCGAACAAGUACCGUGAGGGAAAGAUGAAAAGAACUUUGAAAAGAGAGUUAAACAGUACGUGAAAUUGUCAAAAGGGAAGCGUUUGACACCAGUGUUGUUUUCUCGAAAAUCAAUUAAAAAAGGCCGGAUUUUGUGUUGUAUUGACUUUAUCAGCUUUCUGCACUCUUUUCUUGUCUUUUUUAAUGCACUUUUCGUUUAACAAGUCAACAUCAAUUUCUUUUGUUGUAAAAGGGUCAUUGGAAGGUGGCUUUCUUUUCGGAGAAAGUGUUUAUAGCCUUUGGCCUCUGCAAUCGGAGAGAUUGAGGUCUGCAGCGUAGAUCCUUCGGGGUUAGAUACAUUUGUGCUAAGUUAUAGCCUUUCAUAGACAACUUGUUGACUAUGAUCAGUCAUGUAGCUUACUCGCUUAUGCUAUUU